ACUCAAGAAGGACCCUUGGGCCAAAUCAAAGUGGAAGUCCUCCAAACGAAUAUUUUUAAGAAAACGUUUUCGGGUGAUCUGAGUUUUAGGGGCAAAAACGGUAUUAUAAGUUUGGAAUUUGGAAACAUACCAAGAAAUAGAAGUUGUAGAUAAUUGAAUUAGCUUUCCAACCAUAGGUCGUGGGUUCCCAGGUGACAUCGGUACAAGGAGAUAUGGACGUUUUAAGGUCGAAAGGUCAGUGGGCUAGGCCCAACUCGGGGCCAACCGAGUUAGGCCCAUGACAAAAAAAAAAGAAAUUGAGGCCCAAAUAAAGGGGGUGUCCGGCCAUGGCUUGGCAAGCCCAUGAUAUUUAAUUAAUUUUUCCAUGUGCUAAUUAGAUAAAAGGGGAUCAUUAUCAUGGAACUUUCAAGAAAAAUUUAGAAGGUGAAAAACAAAACAAAGAAGAGAGGGAGAAACCUAAGGGCCAUUUUCGGCCAAGCUCAAGACCAAAAAAAAAAAAAUUCAAAAAUCAUUUUCUACCAAUUAAAGGGCCCUUAGCAAGGUGGAGUAGUCAUUGGAGCAAGAAACCACAUAUUUUUGUGAGUUACAAGUCUUAGCCAAGAAGGAAGAAAAGAGAGAAAGAUUUUGGCGAACUUGAAACUUGAUUUUGGAGACGUGUAUGAAGCGAAAAAGGUCAGCAGACAGGUGGACGUGAUCCUUAGAAGCUCUACCAGCCGCACUUGACAGCGCUCCAGUUGUUCCGGAGCCUCACUCCAGCGGUACUAUUUUAUGCAUAUACAUUCGGGCUUGGUAGCACCCCGGCCCUUUCUAUGUAUAAGUGUACUAUGUCUAGAGGCUCGUAGACAGAUACGUACAGUCAGUCAGGUACAGAUAUAUGUAUAGUAUUUUGGCAUGUUAAUAUUGUUGUACAAGGUAAUAACGGAGUUUAUUAGUUUAUGUUCAAGGAAAAAAAAAUGGCUCGGUUUACACGGCUUGCUAAGAGGUACAGGUAA